AUCCCUGUUAUUCUGACUGAUCUCAUGGAAUCAUGUUGUAUGUCACGCCAGUUCUUACAGCAUUUGGCGUGCUGUAAGUACGCAUUUUCGACCUUUCUCAUGUUAUUCAACGCCAUUUGAUCACAUGUCAAUUUACACCAAGAU